GGAGCAAGAGUCCAUUAAGAAUUUAAAAACAGUCAUUGCGUUACAAUGAAUGUCCUCCCCAAACGCUUGUUGCAUCGUGAACUAUCCUCCCAGUCCCUUGGGAGUUCAGCGGAUGGAUGAUGCGCCGCUGCCAUUUACUUGGAUGAGAAGUUGGACGAACGCUCCUCCAGCUCACGAUACUAAAUGGUGGAGAACUACAGUGUGGUGAUGUGUCGUUCACGAACGAACGGCUCUUUUUGAACGGAUAUUUUUGUUGAACCUCGGGAACCGAAUUGCAUCGGUGAAAGAGCCAUUCAUCUGGCUCUAUGAUUUGCAUACUGCUACAACUGCUUGUUGAGCUCAGAACAACGUUUUUCUGUAGAUAAAUUACAACAUCAUUAUCUAAAGGGGGUGAAUCCUCACUGCAGAAAUAAUAAAUAGUGGGGAGAGAGUUGUGAUUGUAUGUUUGUUUGUACAGUUAUGGCUGUAAUGUUAUUAUUUUGUGUUCUCACUAAACACCCACAUUUGUAUUUGUGUGGGAAAUGUUUGUAGGCUAUGGUUGCUGUUUGUAUUUCAUUGAACUUUAGGCCCAUACAAAGACAAAUCACACAACAUAGAAUUCCAAAUAACCUUAGGCAAAAAUACACGAAAUAAAAGUCAAGUGAAAAUAGUUAUAAAUGUCUUUAUCAAUUAUGAGUAGCUAAACAUUAUCGACCUUUGGACACUGGUGCGCAGGAGAACUCCUAGCUGUCAAUCAAGCAGGCGCGGUGAACGGAUUAUGACGCAACAAUACAGCUCCAGAACAGAGAAAGUUCAUGCCAAAGUUAUUAUUCGGUUCCACACUAAAACUGAGGUUUGACACGUGUGAUUUGAGGCUAGAGCUUGAGGACUCAACUCUGAAGACUGUUUCUGAAUUCACUGACCUGAAAUAAAACUUGUAGACCUUUCCUGCAGUCUCUGAGGAGAUGGACAGCUCUUCUUCUUCUGGACGAUCUCCGUCUCCUACUGGGACUGUCUUCUUACCCCCUCCUAUCAUAUGGAACAGUCUCUACAAGCAGGCAGAGAUGGAGGUUCACUUCCCGAGAGAAGAGAAGAAGACCUAUACAGAGAAGGAAGCCCACAUGCUUGAGUUGAUGGGGAAGGAUCGAACGAUCCGAAAUCAGAAGAAGGAGAUGGACAGACUUCAAGUGUGCCUCUGGGAGGAGGAAAAGAAGAAGAGGAAUGGUGGAACGGAGAAGGACAAGAUCAUUGAACAAUUACAGUCUGAGACAGACCAUCUCCGAGCCCUUUUAAAAGAUGAAAGGAGGAGAAGAAGAGUAGAAAGGGGUAUAAUGAAAGAGUGGAAGGCUGAGAUCCUGAGACUGAGGGAGGCAGAGAGCCAGAGGGAGGCAGAGAGC